AAAAAAAAAAAAGAAAGAAACCAAACCAUUGGCGAAGUGCAAUUUGACGUAACCGCCUAUUUGGAAAGUUGAUUGAUGAAAAUUGACUUGAUUAUCAAUUACUGCAUCAUGGCAGAGUCGGUCGCAUGCAACUUUAUAAACACUCCCGUAUAUGAAGCAAUAGCUUCCUGGAUAGAAACGGCCUCUCUACCGAUUGUUUUGUUGGGUAAGUGGCAAUUUUGCAAUCCU
rnacentral:lncRNA from 1 species